GUCCCUAAAUCUUACUUAAGUGGAAAACGAUGUGAAGUUACUUAAACAACCAGGAGGUUGGCUUAGAAGCAGCCAUCCUUUAAAGAAAGCGUAAUAGCUCACUGGUCUAGUGAUUUUGCGCGGAAAAUAUAACGGGGCUAAAGUAAGUACCGAAGCUGUAGACUUGCGCACAACUUAGAUUAUUUAAGUUUAGAAUAUGAGAAACUAAGUUAUAUGUUUAGUUAUAUUUUUACUGAUUUUUAUAGAGUAAAGAUAGAAAUAAAACUUAGUAAAAUCAGUAAAAAUAUUCUUAGACUAAAAUUAAGUAGUUUAAGUUGUGUGCAAGUGGUAGGAGAGCGUUCUAUUUGCGUCGAAGGUAUACCGGUAAGGAGUGCUGGAGCGAAUAGAAGUGAGCAUGCAGGCAUGAGUAGCGAUAAUUAAUGUGAGAAUCAUUAACGCCGUAAACCCAAGGUUUCCUACGCGAUGCUCGUCAUCGUAGGGUUAGUCGGGUCCUAAGUCGAGUCCGAAAGGGGUAGACGAUGGCAAAUUGGUUAAUAUUCCAAUACCAACAUUAGUGUGCGAUGGAAGGACGCUUAGGGCUAAGGGGGCUAGCGGAUGGAAGUGCUAGUCUAAGGUCGUAGGAGGUUAUACAGGCAAAUCCGUAUAACAAUACUCCGAGAACUGAAAGGCUUUUUGAAGUCUUCGGAUGGAUAGAAGAACCCCUGAUGCCGUCGAGCCAAGAAAAGUUUCUAAGUUUAGCUAAUGUUGCCCGUACCGUAAACCGACACAGGUGGGUGGGAUGAGUAUUCUAAGGCGCGUGGAAGAACUCUCUUUAAGGAACUCUGCAAAAUAGCACCGUAUCUUCGGUAUAAGGUGUGGUUCGCUUCGUAUUAGGAUUUACUCCGAAAGCGAAGAAACUUACAACAAAGAGUCCCUCCCGACUGUUUACCAAAAACACAGCACUCUGCUAACUCGUAAGAGGAUGUAUAGGGUGUGACGCCUGCCCGGUGCUCGAAGGUUAAUUGAUGGGGUUAGCAUUAGCGAAGCUCUUGAUCGAAGCCCGAGUAAACGGCGGCCGUAACUAUAACGGUCCUAAGGUAGCGAAAUUCCUUGUCGGUUAAAUACCGACCUGCAUGAAUGGCGUAACGAGAUGGGAGCUGUCUCAAAGAGGGAUCCAGUGAAAUUGUAGUGGAGGUGAAAAUUCCUCCUACCCGCGGCAAGACGGAAAGACCCCGUGGACCUUUACUACAGCUUGACACUGCUAUUUGGAUAAGAAUGUGCAGGAUAGGUGGGAGGCUUUGAGUAUAUGACGCCAGUUGUAUAUGAGCCAUUGUUGAGAUACCACUCUUUCUUAUUUGGGUAGCUAACCAGCUUGAGUUAUCCUCAAGUGGGACAAUGUCUGGUGGGUAGUUUGACUGGGGCGGUCGCCUCCCAAAUAAUAACGGAGGCUUACAAAGGUUGGCUCAGAACGGUUGGAAAUCGUUCGUAGAGUAUAAAGGUAUAAGCCAGCUUAACUGCAAGACAUACAAGUCAAGCAGAGACGAAAGUCGGUCUUAGUGAUCCGGUGGUUCUGUGUGGAAGGGCCAUCGCUCAAAGGAUAAAAGGUACCCCGGGGAUAACAGGCUGAUCUCCCCCAAGAGCUCACAUCGACGGGGAGGUUUGGCACCUCGAUGUCGGCUCAUCGCAUCCUGGGGCUGGAGCAGGUCCCAAGGGUAUGGCUGUUCGCCAUUUAAAGCGGUACGCGAGCUGGGUUCAGAACGUCGUGAGACAGUUCGGUCCCUAUCUGCCGUGGGCGUAAGAAGAUUGAAGAGAUUUGACCCUAGUACGAGAGGACCGGGUUGAACAAACCACUGGUGUAGCUGUUGUUCUGCCAAGAGCAUCGCAGCGUAGCUAAGUUUGGAAAGGAUAAACGCUGAAAGCAUCUAAGCGUGAAGCCAACUCUAAGAUGAAUCUUCUCUAAGCUCUCUAGAAGACUACUAGUUUGAUAGGCUGGGUGUGUAAUGGAUGAAAGUCCUUUAGCUGACCAGUACUAAUAGAGCGUUUGGCUUAUCUUUAAUAAAGCAU
rnacentral:rRNA from 1 species